rnacentral:rRNA from 1 species
GUUGUAUGGUUAAGUGACUAAGCGUACAUGGUGGAUGCCUUGGCAGUCAGAGGCGAUGAAGGACGUACUAACCUGCGAUAAGCCGUGAGCAGUCGGUAAGAGACAUUACGAC